GUGCUUACUUCAGCAGCACAUAUACUAAAGUUGGAACCAUACAGAGAAGAUUAGCAUGGCCCCUGCGCAAGGAAG
rnacentral:snRNA from 1 species